rnacentral:rRNA from 1 species
GACGUAGAUAGGCCGGGUGUGUAAGCGCAGCGAUGCGUUGAGCUAACCGGUACUAAUGAACCGUGAGGCUUAACCUUACAACGCCGAAG